AACACAUGCAAGUCGAGCGAGAAAAGGGGGGCAACUCCCUGAGUACAGCGGCGCACGGGUGAGUAACACGUGGGUAAUCUGCCCUGAAGUGGGGAAUAACACCGGGAAACCGGCGCUAAUACCGCAUACGAUCACGGAGUCUGCGGAUUUUGUGAUGAAAGGAGCAAUUCGCUUUAGGAGGAGCCCGCGGCUGAUUAGCUAGUUGGUGAGGUAAUGGCUCACCAAGGCUACGAUCAGUAUCCGGUCUGAGAGGACGGUCGGACACACUGGAACUGAGACACGGUCCAGACUCCUACGGGAGGCAGCAGUGGGGAAUUUUUCGCAAUGGGGGCAACCCUGACGAAGCAACGCCGCGUGGGUGAUGAAGUCUCUUGGGACGUAAAACCCUUUCGACGGGGAAGAAACCGCAAGGUUGACGGUACCCGUAGAAGAAGCCCCGGCUAACUCCGUGCCAGCAGCCGCGGUAAUACGGGGGGGGCAAGCGUUGUUCGGAAUUACUGGGCGUAAAGGGUGCGUAGGCGGUUCGUUAAGUUAGAUGUGAAAACUCUGGGCUCAACCCAGAGCCUGCAUCUGAAACUGGCGGGCU
rnacentral:rRNA from 1 species